CGCGGUAGCGCCCUCUGCCUCCACCUGCGGGCCAAAAACCGGUACUGCAGGCUGUGCGGCGCCGCGCAUGCGCGAAGGCGCCCAGUCACCCUCUGCCGCCCUCCUGUGGCGAAAAGGCGGUGCUGCAGGCUGAGAGACGACAGUCUCAGUCUCUGUCAGCGCCGCCGACAUUCUCAUUAGUGCCCCUGCCCGCGGCAAAAUGGCGGCGCCCUGCUUCGGGUCAGAAGGUGCGUCGCCUCAGCUCGGGACGGGACGGGACGCGACACCACGAGUUUGGUGGUCGGGGCCGCCCCGGGACGGCGCGCGGGGCGAGGCGGCGGGCGGUCGGAGCGCCGCGCGGUCGGCGGUUCCUGGGGCAAUGGCCCUUGUGCGGGGAGAGGGGCGCGCCGCGCCGGACCCGUGCUCCGCGGGGCCGUGGGGUCUGGCGGCGGCGAGCCCGGGCGACAAGGAGCGAGGGAGGGAGGGAGAGCACGGAGAGGAGAGGAGAGGCGGGGAACAGCACGAGGGGGUGGACGUUCUGGAGUCCCCGCGGGGUGAGGUGCGCUGCUCCGUCCCGAGGCAUGCUGGGAACUGUAGUCCUGCGCUGCCGGGCAGCCGCCUCGGUCGCUGCGCAGCAACUGACCCCAUUGUCGCUGUCGCUUUGGCCCGCGUACGGCGUGUCACACGCCGGUGUGUUCUCCUGGGGGGUUGACAGCUCAGCCUCCGGAUCCUUACCGAGGAGGAAGCCGGGGGAGAGAGCGAGUGAGAAGCGCCUGAACCGUGAAAUCGUCCCGGCAGCACCCAGAGCGGGAGCUGCGGGAUAGCUGAAGAGUGGGUACCGAGCGGGAAGGAGAUCCGAGCAACAGCUAAUGUCGCCAUCGAGAGCAUGGUGGGAUGGGAGCAGCCGGGGACAGGAUGCGGAAGGAGAACUCGAUGAGAAGGAGCUGCUCUGAAAGGUAGAGGCGGGCAGCGACCUGAGAGGACCAAAAUCAGCAGGGGAAGGUGGGAUUGGGGGGCGGGCGGGGGAUGUUAGGAAUGUUAAGAGAGGAGGAGCAGCCGACAGGAGCAACUUUUCCCUUUCCUACGGAGGGAGAUGAUGAUGGAAAGCCUUCCCCGAGGAAAUGCUUGCCAUUUGCCAUUCAGGCUGUAAAGCCGCACACGCGUCUUCCUGAGAAUGGCUGCAUGCACGUGGUGUCACAGGCCGUGAGCUGCUUGGGCAGGGAUCUCUCCAUGUGGGGCGGUGAGUCCCCAGGAAAGCCAUCGUCUGGCGGAAGAAAGCCCGGGGGGACUUCUCAGAGCGCUGCUCCGCGAAGCCCUGCCUGCCGCUCUGCCGCUCUCGCCUAACGAGGGGGAGCCGGGCGGCGCCGCAGGACCCCUGCACGCGGCAAAAUGGCGGCGCCAUUCUCCGGAGCGGGAGCCGCGCCGGGCUGGGCUCGGAACAGGACGCCGAGGCGCGGUGCCGCAACGGGCAAACUGUUUACAAUGCCAGGAGCGUAGGUACAGUUUUGUGUAGCAUUGUCAUUCUGCUCCACCACUCUGAUAUCUAACAAAGUAAUACUUUCUGGAUGUUGUCUACGAAUUCUUUCCUUCCUUACGUAAGAGGUCGAUGCACAUAUUGCCUAGUUUGUCAUAGAGCAUCGCUGAAGUACUGUUUUAUUUGUAUUUGUGAAGACAGCAGAAUGAAAGACAGCAGCUCGGUGACUCCCACCGAGAUGGUCAUUAGGAUAAAACAGUGAAGUUUCUAGCAUAUAUUAAAAAGCCUGGAGGAAUUAGCAUAGCUUGCAGGAAAGCGUGCUGGAAAGAGAUGAUAUUUGAGAGCAAGCAUGAAAAUGUUGUCUUUUUACCAAGAAUGAUGAGAACUGAUGCGUCCGCCCUGUGUUUGGAUAGAAGAUGCCCCGGAUUUAAAGAUGAUGUGUAUUAAAUGAAGUAUGAGAAGAAACAGCUUCUUCCGACACUUGUGCUCCUUUUCUUCAGCUCGUGCAGAAGGCUGACAGCCUGUCUCACUCUCAUCAGUGCUAUCCCACCAGCUCCUUUAGGAGCUCAGCACCACGUUUGGCCUGUUCCGAUCUCCUCAUUUCUGUGCUGCAACACCACCAUCCAUAAGAAGUCAGAGAGGAGAAAAGCUCUUUCCAGCGAGAUGGAGAAGGAAUUAAUUAUACCUCUGCCUCAUCCUGUGAGACCAGAAGACAUGGAGUAACUGUAAGCUGCGAUUCUCAGGAGACACUAAGAGUCUUGGGUUCCUUCUCUGCCUGCCUCCCAAGGCCUCAGGGAUGAGAAAUCUUAGGCUUUAUGUUUUUCUCUAUGAAAUACUGUCGUGUUAAGGGGCAUAGCUGACUAACUGUUACGGGUCUGGUCGGAUUCAGGUUACUGAACUAUGACGGUCACGGAUUCACCAAUAACGUAGCACAUCCUUGGUCUAGUCGCAUUCAAUGAGAACUGUCACGGCUAGGAACAAUGCAAUGAAGGGCAGUUUAUUACAGCAACCAGGGACACAGGUUCUUUGGAUUGCCGGAGAUAAAUUCACUGUCUGCAAAAGCGAGCGAGCACACAUGAAAUACACAGGUACUCGUCCUGGCUAUUAAUGCGUUAAAAGGCACAAAGGCUCUAGAGAUUUCUGUUUCCAUGGAGACACCUGGUACAACCAAGUGUUCAAAUCUUACCCCACAACAUCCCAAUGCAAGGGGAAGAGAGGCUCAGCCCGUCGACUGAUCCCGGAAGUCAGAAAGGUAUCCUUCGUGAUGGUAUCUUCCCUAACAUCCCCUUUCACUUAAGCCAAUUUACAUUGUCCACUGAUCUAUUCUCUUUAGUGACCAGUGAUAGGACCCGCAGGAAUGGUGUCAAGCUGCGGCAGGAGAGGUUCAGGCUGGACAUCAGGAAGAGGUUCUUCACUGAGAGGGUUGUUGUGCACUGGAACAGUCUCCCCAGGGAUGUAGUCACUGCACCAAGCCUGUCGGAGUUUAAGAAGUGUUUGGACUGUGCACUUAGUCACACGGUCUGAAUUUUUGGGGUGACCUGUGUGGUUCCAGGAGAUGGCACUAGUAUAGGGGUGUGCUACUGUUGCUGUUGUCAUUCUGUCUGGUUGACCUCUGGCUUUAAUCACCAGGUGGCAUGCACUAGGAAACUUCUAAAGCCUUGGAAACAUAAUUGCAGAUUUUUAAGCUUGUUAUUAUGCUCUUCUGAGUGAAGGGCUAGCUUAAUCUAAAAUGUGACCUCUCUGCACCACAAUUUAGCAAGAAAAACUUGACCAGUUUAGUAAAAAAAUGAUGAAAUCCGCACAAGCAAAUCCAGAUAUUGUGCUAACUUGACUUCACCUGGUCUACAGCCUGGCCUCUGUGAAGAAUCUGAAUACAUUUCUAGGCUCUUUAUUGCAUAUAACGUAGGAAAAACUAAUCAGUGAAAUUGCCGCGUAGGUUGAACUGCAGUAUUGUCAUACUGUCAGGAUAUUGUACCAUCACUAUAUGAGAAAUUCUUAGCAAAUAGAACUAAUUGGUUUUUAUAACCCUUUAGAACUAAAUGAAUAUGCUCAUAAUUAUAAAAAAAUAAACAAACAAAAGCCCCUUCUGUUGAAGGGUUUGGCUUUUUUGAAAACGUAACCUAUUGAAAUCUUUAUGGAAUAUGAAAUUGUUAUGGUACACUGUACUCGUGGAAGCAGAUAAAGCUUUUAGUGAAAUGGAGAACUUAUUUUUCACUGCUUUUGCAUCUAGUGAAACGUUCUUGAAAUUAACAAUUCUCUGAGUAAGAGUUAAGGAAAAUGAAGGAAAAAGUAAUGCAUAUAAUUCUGAACUUUGUAGAUGGAACAAGUACAAUAAGGAUGGAAUGUCAUGAUGAGGAUUUAAUAUUUUAAACUACUUAAGUAGACUUUUGUAGUAUUGUGCCUCUAUAUAAAUAGUGGUGAUAAUUCUUACUGUACAAGUUUGACAGUGUUGUCAGUAGCUUGCUAUAUGUACUUAGUUGCAUAGCAAAGCUUAUUAAUUGUCUAAUAUAAGGCAUAGUUCUUGCCUGCAACUUUGCACAGGACUUAUCACAGCAGAACCAUCUCUUCUCAAAAGCAGCUCGGUACGUUUGAAAUCUUAAAGCCAUUGAAAAUACACACCCAGCAGGUCUUUCCAAUUAUUCUGGAAGAACAAGCACAGGGAGUACUACCUGAAUAUGACAGGUCACUUCUUUACUGUGAGGGUGACGGAGCACUGGAACAGGUUGCCCAGAGAGGUUGUAGAGUCUCCUUCUCUGGAGAUAUUCAAAACCUACCUGGAUGCCAUCUUGCACGAUGUGCUCUAGGUGAUCCUGCUUGGCAGGUGGGUUGGACUAGAUGAUCUUCAGAAGUCCCCUCCAACAUCAACCAUUCUGUGAUUCUGUAACAGAAAGUAGCAUGAAAUAUUGAAGCUGUAAUUCACGUGUUUCUCCAGCAAUUCAUUUUCUGCUACUGCUUCUUAGAAAGCUAAAGAGGAGGUAGAGCUGAUGAGUGCAGGGAGGUAUGAAGAGAUCACUUCAGUUAAAGCUUCUUAAAGCUUAACACGAAGCACCCUUGACAUAGUCUCAAAAUAUAGUCUUACAAACCAGAAAUGAGUGAACAGUAUGCUUUCAUUGAGUAGAUGACUGUGGUUUUUCCCCUUGCAAAUACUUUGCAAAUACUUUUUGCAAUACUUUUUCCCCUUUGCAAAUACAAAAAAAGUUCUGCACUUACAGGAACAACAGAGCUGCUAGAAACAACGAAUUCCUCUUGUCUUAUACUUCAAAACCUACAGCUAAAUAAAAACUUACCAUUUUACAAAUGUGAAUACUUGUAUCAUAUACCUUAGGAGGAAUCUUUUAAUUUUUUUUUUCCAACUGUCUCUAAUGCUUAUGCAGAGACUUGUGUAUUAAUGACACAGAUCCUCUGAAGGAUAUCUUGUAUUGGCUUCAGAACUUUUUAGCCUAGAGAAAAUAGAUGGUGUAAGACUUGAAAGUGUGGUGAUAACCUUAAGCCAGGUUACUUUUUGUCUGCUACAGAAACAUGCCCACCUAAUUUGUGGAUACUUGAUUUGUCUAACUGUUGCUUAAAACUUAAUUUCUGUGAUGUGCUUCUUGAUCGGUUGUGUUUUGUUUGUAUUUUGUGCUAAUGACAAUAAGGGCUGGCUAGCAGAGGCAAAAUUAUACCUAGUGUAGGUAAAAGCCUUGCAUAUUGUCACACUGGCUGACUGCAGCUAGUGUUCAGCUCCUUAUGAUCAGCAGGUCUGAUUUUUCUGUUCCAAGGUUAUGAAGGUGUGAUGCAGUGUUUGAUAUUAUACUGACUGGUUAUAUAUAGUUUUGAUAUUAAAGAAUUGUAGCUAACUGCUA